GACGAACGCUGGCGGCGCGCCUAACACAUGCAAGUCGAACGGAGUUAUUUUGAAAGCUUGCUUUUGGUAUAACUGAGUGGCGGACGGGUGAGUAACGCGUGAGUAACCUGCCUUAAAAGAGGGGGAUAACGUCUGGAAACGGACGCUAAUACCGCAUGACAUACGGACAUGGCAUCAUGAUCGUACCAAAGGAGCAAUCCGCUUUAAGAUGGACUCGCGUCCAAUUAGCUAGUUGGUGAGGUAACGGCCCACCAAGGCGACGAUUGGUAGCCGGACUGAGAGGUUGAACGGCCACAUUGGGACUGAGACACGGCCCAGACUCCUACGGGAGGCAGCAGUGGGGAAUAUUGCACAAUGGGGGGAACCCUGAUGCAGCGACGCCGCGUGAGGGAAGAAGGUUUUCGGAUUGUAAACCUCUGUCCUUGGUGACGAUAAUGACGGUAGCCAAGGAGGAAGCCCACGGCUAACUACGUGCCAGCCG
rnacentral:rRNA from 1 species